AAAAGAAUUGAUACAUGCUAGAGGAUACACAAGUUUAAGAGGGCGGAUGUUAUGUUGUAACAUGGUUAUUAGAAGCAAAUUAUCUAAGAAGCAUAAAUAAUAAUCAAGGAGGUAGUAAAAUUGAUAUAUAACAAUAUCACUCUUUUACAAAAUGGACUUCUAUUUACUUUGUAUGGCUAUAAAUAAGACAAAAUCAAAUAGAUAAGAAAAAUAACUAAUAUAGGCAUUUUUAAAAAAUAAUUAAAAAUACUUCAUAGAAAACAUUCUCUGAAGUAAUGAAGAAUUGAUAUUUAGAGAGGACUAAUUGUGAACCAAAGCCAAAAUCAAAACUCAUGGUACAAAACCACACAUCUAUGGAAAUUUUAGAGUUUUUAGAUUGAUUAAAAAGUGAGAUUUGAAAGAAAACUAAAAGAAGGUUCUUUAAGCUAUGUUUUUGAGUGAUUUGAGUUUUUAAUGACUUUUUAUAGGCUUUUCAAAGUUAACAUUCUUUUGCAAUGACUUUGGAUUUUUGAGAAAUACAAAACUUUUAUACUUUAAAAAAAUAUUUUGAAAUCGGUAGAUGAUCUAUGCUUAAAAUUUUGUAAUUGAAUGAUUUUUAUUGUAUUAAAUUUGUAUUAUAAGUUUGAAUCUGAUUUAAAGUUUUAUUUAAAGGUUAUCAAAAGUUAAAUAUAUUAGGAUCUUAGAAAUUAGAGUUUAAAAGAUUAGUGAGGGUUUCUGAGAUUUAUAACAAUGUGCUGCUUAAUUGAAAUAAAAAUUUUGCAAAAUAUUAAUAGACUUAAUUUUCAAUAACAAUAAAAAGUUUUAAAGUCAUUAAAAAAGGAAAUUUAAGAGGUAUUGAGGCUAGGAUAUUGUCAUCAAGGUUGAAAAAAGAGGCUAAUCAAUAUCCAAGUUGACUUUGGGAUUUAUCUUUUAUUUAUUAAGUUUGAUCUUUUUAAAACUUUUUGUACUUGUUUUUAACAUAAUAAUUGUCAAUUAGACAAAUUUUGAGUCAAAAUAUAUGAUUAAAUUAAUUACUGAGAUUUCAACUAGCUCUAGGAUUGAUUAAGAGUUUAUUUAAGAUUUAGGAUUAUAUUAAGAUUUGAUUUAGGAUUUAAGAUUUUAUUAAUAUUUGAUUAAAGUUUUUUUUAGGAUUUAUAAUUUAAUCAAGAUUUCAUUAAGAAUUUUUAAGGAUUUGAUUUAAGGUUUAAAAUUUUAUUAAGAUUUGAUUUAAGAUUUAGGAUUUGAUUAGGAUUUAAUUAAUAUUUAUUUAGAAUUUA
rnacentral:lncRNA from 1 species